UGGUGGAGUGAUUUGUCUGGUUAAUUCCGAUAACGAACGAGACCUUAACCUGCUAACUAGUUGCGCGUACGUGAGUAUGCGUAUACUUCUUAGAGGGACUGACUACGUUUAGUAGUCGGAAGUUUGAGGCAAUAACA
rnacentral:rRNA from 1 species